rnacentral:tRNA from 1 species
GCCUCGGUAACUCAGCCUGGUAGAGUGGCAGCCUUGUAAGCUGCUUGCCGAGGGUUCAAAUCCCUCCCGAGGCU